GCACUACUGAGGAGUCCCAUAAUAGGACGAAACGGCUGUUCAGUGC
rnacentral:hammerhead_ribozyme from 1 species